UGGCGAACGGGUGAGUAACACGUGAGUAACCUGCCCUUGACUUUGGGAUAACUUCAGGAGACUGGGGCUAAUACCGGAUAGGAGCUCCUGCUGCAUGGUGGGGGUUGGAAAGUUUCGGCGGUUGGGGAUGGACUCGCGGCUUAUCAGCUUGUUGGUGGGGUAGUGGCUUACCAAGGCUUUGACGGGUAGCCGGCCUGAGAGGGUGACCGGCCACAUUGAGACUGAGAUACGGCCCAG
rnacentral:rRNA from 1 species